rnacentral:rRNA from 1 species
GACGAACGCUGGCGGCGUGCUUAACACAUGCAAGUCGAACGGAAAGGCCCUGCUUUUGUGGGGUGCUCGAGUGGCGAACGGGUGAGUGACACGUGAGUAACCUGCCCUUGACUUUGGGAUAACUUCAGGAAACUGGGGCUAAUACCGGAUAGGAGCUCCUGCUGCAUGGUGGGGGUUGGAAAGUUUCGGCGGUUGGGGAUGGACUCGCGGCUUAUCAGCUUGUUGGUGGGGUAGUGGCUUACCAAGGCUUUGACGGGUAGCCGGCCUGAGAGGGUGACCGGCCACAUUGGGACUGAGAUACGGCCCAGACUCCUACGGGAGGCAGCAGUGGGGAAUAUUGCACAAUGGGCGGGAGCCUGAUGCAGCAACGCCGCGUGCGGGAUGACGGCCUUCGGGUUGUAAACCGCUUUCGCCUGUGACGAAGCGUGAGUGACGGUAAUGGGUAAAGAAGCACCGGCUAACUACGUG